GACGAACGCUGGCGGCGUGCUUAACACAUGCAAGUCGAACGGAGUGGCGAACGGGUGAGUAACACGUGGGUGAGCUGCCUUGCACUUCGGGAUAAGCUUGGGAAACUGGGUCUAAUACCGGAUAGUGCAAGAUGAGCUCGCGGGCAAUCAGCUUGUUGGUGGGGUAAUGGCCUACCAGGGCGUCGGCGGGUAGCCGGCCUGAGAGGUAGUACGGCCACAUUGGGACUGAGGUACGGCCCAGACUGCUACGGGGGGCAGGGGUGGGGAAUAUUGCGCAAAGGGCGGAAGCCUGAAGGAAGGACGCCGGGUGGGGGAGGAAGGCUUUCGAGUUGUAAACUCCUUUCGACAGGGACGCGGUACCUGUAUAAGAAGCACCGGCUAACUACGUGCCAGCCGCCGCGGUAAUAC
rnacentral:rRNA from 1 species